UAAGGAGUGUGUAACAACUCACCUGCCGAAUCAACCAGCCCCGAAAAUGGAUGGCGCUCAAAUCUACCACCGACAGUUCGCCGCGAGUCCUCGCACGGACUCGCGUGUAGGGGUGCGUGAUGGCGAUGCUGCGAAGCGUCUGGCGUGAGCCUGCGUGGAGCUCCCAUUAGUGCAGAUCUUGGUUGUAGUAGAGUUUAUUCCA
rnacentral:rRNA from 13 species